UGGGGAAUUUUGGACAAUGGGCGAAAGCCUGAUCCAGCAAUGCCGCGUGUGUGAAGAGGGCCUUCGGGUUGUAAAGCACUUUUGUCCGGAAAGAAAUCCUUGGCUCUAAUACAGUCGGGGGAUGACGGUACCGGAAGAAUAAGCACCGGCUAACUACGUGCCAGCAGCCGCGGUAAUACGUAGGGUGCAAGCGUUAAUCGGAAUUACUGGGCGUAAAGCGUGCGCAGGCGGUUUGCUAAGACCGAUGUGAAAUCCCCGGGCUCAACCUGGGAACUGCAUUGGUGACUGGCAGGCUAGAGUAUGGCAGAGGGGGGUAGAAUUCCACGUGUAGCAGUGAAAUGCGUAGAGAUGUGGAGGAAUACCGAUGGCGAAGGCAGCCCCCUGGGCCAAUACUGACGCUCAUGCACGAAAGCGUGGGGAGCAAACAGGAUUAGAUACCCUGGUAGUCCACGCCCUAAACGAUGUCAACUAGUUGUUGGGGAUUCAUUUCCUUAGUAACGUAGCUAACGCGUGAAGUUGACCGCCUGGGGAGUACGGUCGCAAGAUUAAAACUCAAAGGAAUUGACGGGGUCAUAGCUGUUUCCU
rnacentral:rRNA from 1 species